rnacentral:rRNA from 1 species
UGGGGAAUUUUGGACAAUGGGCGAAAGCCUGAUCCAGCAAUGCCGCGUGUGUGAAGAAGGCCUUCGGGUUGUAAAGCACUUUUGUCCGGAAAGAAAUCCUUGGCUCUAAUACAGUCGGGGGAUGACGGUACCGGAAGAAUAAGCACCGGCUAACUACGUGCCAGCAGCCGCGGUAAUACGUAGGGUGCAAGCGUUAAUCGGAACUACUGGGCGUAAAGCGUGCGCAGGCGGUUUGCUAAGACCGAUGUGAAAUCCCCGGGCUCAACCUGGGAACUGCAUUGGUGACUGGCAGGCUAGAGUAUGGCAGAGGGGGGUAGAAUUCCACGUGUAGCAGUGAAAUGCGUAGAGAUGUGGAGGAAUACCGAUGGCGAAGGCAGCCCCUGGGCCAAUACUGACGCUCAUGCACGAAAGCGUGGGGAGCAAACAGGAUUAGAUACCCUGGUAGUCCACGCCCUAAAACGAUGUCAACUAGUUGUUGGGGAUUCAUUUCCUUAGUAACGUAGCUAACGCGUGAAGUUGACCGCCUGGGGAGUACGGUCGCAAGAUUAAAACUCAAAGGAAUUGACGGGGUCAUAGCUGUUUCCU